rnacentral:tRNA from 1 species
AGCAGUGUGUUUAAAUGGAAAAAGCAUUGGGCUGGGAGUCAGAAGAUCUGGGUUCCAAUCCUAGUUCUGCUA